rnacentral:misc_RNA from 12 species
UUCUAGAGAGAGAGAGAGAGAGAGAGAGAGAGAAAACGGAAAGCAUAAAACGCGUCGAGAGACUUUCUCUCUCUCUCUCUCUCUCUCUCUCUCUCUCUUUGU